rnacentral:rRNA from 1 species
CACGUGGGCAAUCUGCCCUGCACUCUGGGACAAGCCCUGGAAACGGGGUCUAAUACCGGAUAUGACCGUCUGCCGCAUGGUGGAUGGUGUAAAGCUCCGGCGGUGCAGGAUGAGCCCGCGGCCUAUCAGCUUGUUGGUGAGGUAGUGGCUCACCAAGGCGACGACGGGUAGCCGGCCUGAGAGGGCGACCGGCCACACUGGGACUGAGACACGGCCCAGACUCCUACGGGAGGCAGCAGUGGGGAAUAUUGCACAAUGGGCGAAAGCCUGAUGCAGCGACGCCGCGUGAGGGAUGACGGCCUUCGGGUUGUAAACCUCUUUCAGCAGGGAAGAAGCGAAAGUGACGGUACCUGCAGAAGAAGCGCCGGCUAACUACGUGCCAGCAGCCGCGGUAAUACGUAGGGCGCAAGCGUUGUCCGGAAUUAUUGGGCGUAAAGAGCUCGUAGGCGGCUUGUCACGUCGGUUGUGAAAGCCCGGGGCUUAACCCCGGGUCUGCAGUCGAUACGGGCAGGCUAGAGUUCGGUAGGGGAGAUCGGAAUUCCUGGUGUAGCGGUGAAAUGCGCAGAUAUCAGGAGGAACACCGGUGGCGAAGGCGGAUCUCUGGGCCGAUACUGACGCUGAGGAGCGAAAGCGUGGGGAGCGAACAGGAUUAGAUACCCUGGUAGUCCACGCCGUAAACGGUGGGCACUAGGUGUGGGCAACAUUCCACGUUGUCCGUGCCGCAGCUAACGCAUUAAGUGCCCCGCCUGGGAGUA